UACGAAGGGGGCUAGCGUUGUUCGGAAUCACUGGGCGUAAAGCGCACGCAGGCGGAUUGAUAAGUCGGGGGUGAAAUCCCGGGCUCAACCUCGGAAUUGCCUUCGAUACUGUCUGUCUUGAGUCCGGGAGAGGUGAGGUGGAAUUCCUAGUGUAGAGGUGAAAUUCGUAGAUAUUAGGAAGAACACCAGUGGCGAAGGCGGCUCACUGGCCCGGUACUGGACGCUCAUGUGCGAAAGCGUGGGGAGCAAACA
rnacentral:rRNA from 1 species